rnacentral:tRNA from 1 species
ACCCUUGUGGCACAAUGAAUUCUGUGCGGACUUAAAAUCCGCCGGGGGCAACCCCAUGCCGGUUCGAUUCCGGCUCCGGGCACCA